rnacentral:rRNA from 1 species
GAUGAACGCUGGCGGCGUGCCUAAUACAUGCAAGUCGAGCGAACAGACGAGGAGCAUGCUCCUUUGACGUUAGCGGCGGACGGGUGAGUAACACGUGGAUAACCUACCUAUAAGACUGGGAUAACUUCGGGAAACCGGAGCUAAUACCGGAUAACAUGUUGAACCGCAUGGUUCAACAGUGAAAGACGGUCUUGCUGUCACUUAUAGAUGGAUCCGCGCCGCAUUAGCUAGUUGGUAAGGUAACGGCUUACCAAGGCAACGAUGCGUAGCCGACCUGAGAGGGUGAUCGGCCACACUGGAACUGAGACACGGUCCAGACUCCUACGGGAGGCAGCAGUAGGGAAUCUUCCGCAAUGGGCGAAAGCCUGACGGAGCAACGCCGCGUGAGUGAAGAAGGUCUUCGGAUCGUAAAACUCUGUUAUUAGGGAAGAACAAAUGUGUAAGUAACUAUGCACGUCUUGACGGUACCUAAUCAGAAAGCCACGGCUAACUACGUG